rnacentral:rRNA from 1 species
GAUGAACGCUAGCGGCAGGCCUAACACAUGCAAGUCGAGGGGCAGCAUAAAAUAAACUUGUUUAUUUGGUGGCGACCGGCGCACGGGUGCGUAACGCGUAUGCAACCUACCUUAUACUGGGGAAUAGCCCGAAGAAAUUCGGAUUAAUGCCCCAUAGUACUGAGACCUCUCCUGAGGAUUCAGUUAAAGCUUUGGCGGUAUAAGAUGGGCAUGCGUCCAAUUAGCUAGAUGGUGAGGUAACGGCUCACCAUGGCGACGAUUGGUAGGGGGCCUGAGAGGGUGGUCCCCCACACUGGUACUGAGACACGGACCAGACUCCUACGGGAGGCAGCAGUGAGGAAUAUUGGUCAAUGGGCGCAAGCCUGAACCAGCCAUGCCGCGUGAAGGAUGAAGGUUCUAUGGAUUGUAAACUUCUUUUAUUUGGGAAUAAACCUCUUUACGUGAAGAGAGCUGAAGGUACCAAAUGAAUAAGCACCGGCUAACUCCGUGCCAGCAGCCGCCGUAAUAC